AGUGAACGCUGGCGGCAGGCCUAACACAUGCAAGUCGAGCGGCAGCGCGGGGGCAACCCUGGCGGCGAGCGGCGGACGGGUGAGGAAUUCGUCGGAAUCUGCCUUUUUGUGGGGGAUAACGUAGGGAAACUUACGCUAAUACCGCAUACGUCCUACGGGAGAAAGUGGGGGACCGCAAGGCCUCACGCAGAAAGAUGAGCCGACGACCGAUUAGCUAGUUGGGGGGGUAAAGGCUCACCAAGGCGACGAUCGGAAGCUGGUCUGAGAGGAAGAUCAGCCAGACGGUGAGAGAGACUGAUCCGAGACUCUGACGGUGGGAAGCGGUGGGGAAUAUUGGACGAUGGGGGCGAGCCUGAUCCAGCAAUGCCGGGGGUGUGAAGAUGGAGUACUGGUGGGAAAGCACUUUUGUCCUGAAAGAAAUCCCUGUAUCUAAUACCGUCUGAUGAUGACGGUACCGGAAGAAUAAGCUCCGGCUAACUUCGUG
rnacentral:rRNA from 1 species